GAACAUAUAAUAACCUCUUCUUUCGCUAUUUUCACCAUGGCCAAAAUUCGGGAUUUUAUGCAGUCGUGAUACAGCUCCUAUGACGAUCAUUCCGUCCCAUAUUCCUCGGAUGAUCGGCCAAUUCGAAAUAAGAAACAGUGAGCAGCCCCGAUAUAAGGUAUUGAUUCAGGCGCACUCUGGACGGCCUUUGGCAAACCCUUCCUAGUACUGUUAGGUUAUGAAAAUAAUCAGUUAGAGAGAAGAUUUAGUUAUCGAUAACUAGUUGAGAUUGACCUUUGAGGAUUGGACAUGAUAUUUAAAUUAUUAAUUAGAUAUUAGGUAUAUACCUCCCCAAAAAAACUUUUGAAUAAAAAUAAAGAAUCAAAUCAAAAAAAAAAAAAAAGGGCAUUUCCUCCCUCCGAUAUCGUUAUUCAUUGAUUCUCCCCGCGUACUCCUGGCUGCGCCCUCCAUUCUGCGUUGAGAGUAUACCUUACUUAGUUGAAAAAGAAAACCCCAACACUAUCCAUCAUCAAUUACCUGUUACCUACCCCGUUCUCGCUAGUUUGCGCACU
rnacentral:sRNA from 1 species